AACGCACAUUGCGCCCGCCAGCAUUCUGGCGGGCAUGCCUGUUCGAGCGUCAUUUCAACCCUCAAGCUCUGCUUGGUGUUGGGGCUCUACGGUUGACGUAGGCCCUUAAAGGUAGUGGCGGACCCUCUCGGAGCCUCCUUUGCGUAGUAACAUUUCGUCUCGCAUUGGGAUUCGGAGGGACUCUUGCCGUAAAACCCCCAAUUUAUCUAAGGUUGACCUCGGAUCAGGUAGGAAUACCCGCUGAACUUAA
rnacentral:misc_RNA from 1 species